CCUUGAGGCAAGGAUGGACUUACGAACCGUGUCAGGUCCGGAAGGAAGCAGCACUAAGUUUGUUUCGUCCUGUGCUUCUCGUUAUAG
rnacentral:SRP_RNA from 1 species